GUCCUCUUCGGGACUUUUUGCGGUCUGGGCUUGCUGUCCAAUCACUAUCCAGGAAGCCCUUACCCCAAAAAGCAUCUGCAGGGGAC
rnacentral:pre_miRNA from 10 species